UGGGGAGAAGGGGAGAGGAGUAGAGAGAGAUUGGAAAUCAGAUUUUAAGAGGAGAAGCAGUUCUAGACCAAGACUAUGUCUACCCUGGCCAAUGGAAGAGACUCCUUGCAAAAUCUUGUCUCGUCUGUGGACUGGUUCAGUGGCCUACAACUUAUUCAGAACUCAACACUUUCGCUAUAAAACUGAGUGUUGUUCCUACAGUACUUUCUGCUUUUCCAAGCCCAUCUGCAGUCCUGAUCUCCUUCAACCCAACCACAACCCCAGGAGGUAUUCGUGGCAGGACACAGCUGGAUCCCAAAGGGUCUUCAAAGCCACAGUUUGCUUGUCAGAAGCUAAGAUCCCUCACUGCUGGGUGAGUCAUUUGCAGUUCUAAAGUGAGUCUCAUUUCAGAGUAAAGGAGCUUUGAGUUGGCAGGACAAAGCUGCAUCUCUGUGCUUUAAACUCCACAUUCUUCCACUCUGUUUCUCCCUCUCCGAGGAAGAGGACAAGAUAGUCUCAGAUGCAGGACCUUCGAGAACCAAGACCUGAAUCCCUGGACACCGCUGCUUGCCAUCCUUGGGCUCCACUGCCAAAAAUGGCCAGAUCCAGCCCCCACCCCCCUACCCCCGCAAGAAAUCAACACCAAAUUUCUUAUAAGAGUGCAAAACUUCAGAAAGCUUCUGGUAACACAAGCAUAUUGUGGUGGUACAAGGAAUACAGCCAUUGUAAGGUUGUGAGUUUGGCAUUUGUUUCUGAAUGUGCUUCUGAAACAUGUUAUUUUUAACACAAAGGCAAUACUAGUCUCUAUUUCAUAAGAAACCGUGAAAUUAAGUGAGUUAAUAAUUUGAACAUGUUACCUUUUCCUAUUACAAUAUCUUUUUCUUUUCAAUAUCACUAUACUUCCUAUUUCUAUACUGGACCCAUAAAAGAGGUAGCUGAGACCCUGGGGAGUUUUGGAAAUACAAUAGAUUUUAGCUUCCGCUGGGACAGAAACCGAUUCUGGCCCGUCGCUUCUGGUGGAGUCCAGUAGUCAGGACAGAAAUCAGGCUGACGUCAGAGCCAUUACCCUCCCUGCCCCCACACCCAGCUGGCCAGCCUUUGUGUGGCUCUAAAGGCUCUGUGGGCAUUCUGCAGGCGCUUCCUUCAAAUGCUAAUGAAAGCUCACAAAUGUUUCCCCAGGCAUUCCAGGCGCACGACAGCCUCCUACCACCCCCUACCAAGCCCAAAGCACCUCUGAGGCGUCCCAGUGGCCAGGCCUUCUAGUCCUUUGAAUGAAUACAAGCAAGGUUCUUGUAAGAUCUUUCUCAGUUUCUGCCAUUCAAACAGUUGGGGAAAUUUUUAAAGGACAGAAGUUGUGGAGAACGUCAAAGAGGCCUGAAAGUGACUGGACGACGCAUCCCUGAGAGGAGUGUGAUGUCAUGGGAAAUACAGCCACAGUCUUACUGUUCUAAAAAGAUGAUGCUGUGGGGAGCAGGACUGGUACCCUAUACUGCAUGAAGAGUCAAUGAUGGCACCUGUACCUGAGAUUACUUAAUGAAAUAGGCACGUGAUGAGGGUGAGGAGUGGAAACUGUCAUUAUGCUACAUGGUGAUUAAAAAGAUGGGAACAGGGGCGCCUGGGUGGCUCAGUCGGUUGAGCGUCCGACUCAGCUCAGGUCAUGAUCUCACAGUUUGUGAGUUCGAGUCCCGCAUCAGGCUCUGUGCUGACA